rnacentral:rRNA from 1 species
AUUGAACGCUGGCGGCAGGCCUAACACAUGCAAGUCGAGCGGAGCGGCGGACGGGUGAGUAAUGCCUAGGAAUCUGCCUGGUAGUGGGGGAUAACGUCCGGAAACGGGCGCUAAUACCGCAUACUAUCAGAUGAGCCUAGGUCGGAUUAGCGAGGUGGUGGGGUAAAGGCCUACCAAGGCGACGAUCCGGAACUGGUCUGAGAGGGUGAUCAGUCACACUGGAACUGAGACAGGGUCCAGACUCCUACGGAAGUCAGCAGUGGGGAAUAUUGCACAAUGGGCGCAAUCCUGAUGCAGCCAUGCCGCGUGGGUGAAGAAGGCCUUCGGGUUGUAAAGCACUUUCAGCGGGGAGGCGUUACCCGCAGAAGAAGCACCGGCUAACUCCGUGCCAGCAGCCGCGGUAAUAC